rnacentral:rRNA from 1 species
UACAGAGGUCUCAAGCGUUGUUCGGAUUCAUUGGGCGUAAAGGGCGCGUAGGCGGCGGGGUAAGUCGGGUGUGAAAUCUCAGAGCUCAACUCUGAAACUGCACUCGAUACUGCUCUGCUUGAGGACUGGAGAGGAGACUGGAAUUCACGGUGUAGCAGCGAAAUGCGUAGAUAUCAGGAGGAACACCGGUGGCGAAGGCGGCUACCUGGACAGAAACUGACGCUGAGGCGCGAAAGCUAGGGGAGCAAACAGG